UACGUAGGGUGCGAGCGUUAAUCGGAAUUACUGGGCGUAAAGCGUGCGCAGGCGGCGCGUUAAGACAGGUGUGAAAGCCCCGAGCUUAACUUGGGAAUUGCGCUUGUGACUGGCGUGCUGGAGUGUGGCAGAGGGAGGUGGAAUUCCACGUGUAGCAGUGAAAUGCGUAGAGAUGUGGAGGAACACCGAUGGCGAAGGCGGCCCUCUGGCUCGACCCUGACGCUGAGGCGCGAAAGCGUGGGGAGCGAACGGG
rnacentral:rRNA from 1 species